GGUGGGGGGUUUUCGGCAGGUUUGUGGGUGCCGGCUGACCCCGGGGUGUCCUGGCUGGGCAGAGGGGAGGCUGUGUGCCCCGUGCUUGCCCCGGGGCUGUGUGCCCGGACAGUUACCGCCGUGUUUUGUCUCGGUUCCUUCCCUCCUUUGUUAUCCCCCGUCUGGUUUAUAUGCGAGUUCCCUUCCUCCGAUUGUCAGAAAUUUCUUUUUCACUGUGUGGGCAGGAGACAGAUUUUAACUGUCUCUAUUUUCUCCCUUUUUUUUUUUUUUAAUUUUUUUUUUAAAUUUCGUCUUAUCCCCCCUCCCCCUUUCCUUCCUUCCCUGCUCCUCUCGUCUCUCCCUCCCCUCUCCCUCCUUUUUUUUUUUCCCUCCCUUCCCCACGGUUCUUUUCCUCCCUCCCUUUUCCAUUACAAAUCAUGCCUCUGGAAUAACCCCCUGCCGGAUCCAUGUCCCUGGCCCCAGGUAAGCCAUGCCCAGCGGGAUGGUGGCCCUGGACCCUCCCAAACUCCUCGGGGACAUCCUUUUUCCCCCUCCCCUUCCCCCUCUCGCUGCUACCUGUUGCGGACGGUCGGGAGACGCCAGUUGGGGCUGUCUCCAUCCUCCUCCUCCUCCUUUCUCUGAGCGAUUCCCGGUGGACACCUCCUCCCCUCCCUUCUGUCUGUGCUGCUCUCCGGGAUGCGCGGGGCUCCGGGGAUGGAGCGCGGGGGAAGGAGCCGCCGGCAGCCCGCGGCCACAGAGUGAUGAGCCACACCAGCAGCAGCGAUGCUGGGACUCGGGACGUGCUCCAUGGGCGCCCCGGGGAGGGCGGCUGAGCUGGACGCCGCCUCGUCCCGCUGCAUCCUGGCCCUGCCCGAGGAGGAGACGUGGCGCCAGCACCGCCUGGGCCUCAUGCAGAACACCCAAUCCUGCAACCUGCUGGAGCCUGAGAGCCUGGCCCAGGCCCUGGUGUCCCGCGCCGCCUCCUUCGACGCCCUCUACGAUUCCCGCUGCCGCGAUGCCGACGAUGGCGGCGCCCUGGACCUGGGGCUGGGCCAGCUGGUGGCCGUGAGCCCGGACGUGAUCAAGCGCCGGCGGGGAGGGCUCAUCGAGCAGAGGGACAUUAUCAAGGCCCACGAGGCCCACAAGAUGCAGAGCACGCCCCAGGCGAGGAGGAAGGAGUGGGAGUAAGUACCGGAGAGCCCCCAGCCCAGGUGGGCAGCUGGGGGGAGUGGGAGCCUUCCCUGUCC
rnacentral:lncRNA from 1 species